rfam:Malassezia pachydermatis strain CBS 1879 scaffold15, whole genome shotgun sequence.
GGUCUUUUAGUUUAAUGGUAAAACCCUCGGUCUUCAUCUGAGUGAGUGGGCGUUCGAGUCGCCUAAAGAUCA